rnacentral:misc_RNA from 1 species
GAAAUAAUGAAGUGUAUGGUGGUAUUCUUAUAUCAUGCUUUAGCUUCAGGAAUGGAUUUGUUCUGAAGGAAAGUGGUUGGCAUGAACGUGUGAUCAAGUCACGGCCUCACGGGGAUAUUUUUUCUGCAAUAGUUUCUUACCUUGUAUAUUUUUGGUAUUUGCUAGGUAUGCAUCUUUGUUAUUGUAGCUGAUGUACUACAAUGUUUU